rnacentral:rRNA from 1 species
GGUCCAUACUCCUACGGGAGGCAGCAGUAGGGAAUCUUCCACAAUGGGCGCAAGCCUGAUGGAGCAACACCGCGUGAGUGAAGAAGGGUUUCGGCUCGUAAAGCUCUGUUGUUGGAGAAGAACGUGCGUGAGAGUAACUGUUCACGCAGUGACGGUAUCCAACUAGAAAGUCACGGCUAACUACGUGCCAGCAGCCGCGGUAAU